rfam:Glycine soja cultivar W05 scaffold1966_34, whole genome shotgun sequence.
UUCUUAUUGGAUGAUGACUGCCACUCACGUGUCACGUUUUGAUUGAAUGUCAACUCGAUGAAAGAUGAAAUGCAUUGAUAUUUUCAUUGACCAAUCAGAAUAUGACACGUGAUAUCAGCAUAA